GAUGAACGCUGGCGGCGUGCCUAAUACAUGCAAGUCGAGCGAACGGACGAGAAGCUUGCUUCUCUGAUGUUAGCGGCGGACGGGUGAGUAACACGUGGAUAACCUACCUAUAAGACUGGGAUAACUUCGGGAAACCGGAGCUAAUACCGGAUAAUAUUUUGAACCGCAUGGUUCAAAAGUGAAAGACGGUCUUGCUGUCACUUAUAGAUGGAUCCGCGCUGCAUUAGCUAGUUGGUAAGGUAACGGCUUACCAAGGCAACGAUGCAUAGCCGACCUGAGAGGGGGAUCGGCCCACCCGGAACUGGAGAACCGUCCCGACUCCUACGGGAGGGAGCAGUAGGGAAUCUUCCGCCAUGGGCGGAAGCCUGACCGAACAACGCCGCGGGGGUGAAUGAAGGCCUCGGGUCGGAAAACUCUUUUAAUAGGGAAAAACAAAAUUGUAAAUAAACGUGGCCAACCUGAAGGGACCUAAACAGAAAGCCACGGCUAACUACGUG
rnacentral:rRNA from 1 species